AUGAACGCUGGCGGCGUGCCUAAUACAUGCAAGUCGAGCGAACAGACGAGGAGCUUGCUCCUCUGACGUUAGCGGCGGACGGGUGAGUAACACGUGGAUAACCUACCUAUAAGACUGGGAUAACUUCGGGAAACCGGAGCUAAUACCGGAUAAUAUAUUGAACCGCAUGGUUCAAUAGUGAAAGACGGUUUUGCUGUCACUUAUAGAUGGAUCCGCGCCGCAUUAGCUAGUUGGUAAGGUAACGGCUUACCAAGGCGACGAUGCGUAGCCGACCUGAGAGGGUGAUCGGCCACACUGGAACUGAGACACGGUCCAGACUCCUACGGGAGGCAGCAGUAGGGAAUCUUCCGCAAUGGGCGAAAGCCUGACGGAGCAACGCCGCGUGAGUGAUGAAGGUCUUCGGAUCGUAAAACUCUGUUAUUAGGGAAGAACAAAUGUGUAAGUAACUAUGCACGUCUUGACGGUACCUAACCAGAAAGCCACGGCUAACUACGUG
rnacentral:rRNA from 1 species